rnacentral:rRNA from 1 species
AACGAACGCUGGCGGCAGGCCUAACACAUGCAAGUCGAGCGAGGACUUCGGUCCUAGCGGCGGACGGGUGAGUAACGCGUGGGAACGUGCCCUUUGCUUCGGAAUAGCCCUGGGAAACUGGGAGUAAUACCGGAUGAGCCCUUUGGGGGAAAGACUUAUCGGCGAAGGAUCGGCCCGCGUUGGAUUAGGUAGUUGGUGGGGUAAUGGCCUACCAAGCCGACGAUCCAUAGCUGGUUUGAGAGGAUGAUCAGCCACACUGGGACUGAGACACGGCCCAGACUCCUACGGGAGGCAGCAGUGGGGAAUCUUAGACAAUGGGGGAAACCCUGAUCUAGCCAUGCCGCGUGAGCGAUGAAGGCCUUAGGGUUGUAAAGCUCUUUCAGCUGGGAAGAUAAUGACGGUACCAGCAGAAGAAGCCCCGGCUAACUCCGUG